rnacentral:rRNA from 1 species
UACGAAGGUCCCUAGCGUUAUCCGGAUUUAUUGGGUUUAAAGGGUGCGUAGGCGGGUUAUUAAGUCAGUGGUGAAAGCUCCAUGCCUAACAUGGAAAUUGCCAUUGAUACUGAUGAUCUUGAGUACAUUUGAAGUGGGCGGAAUGUGUCAUGUAGCGGUGAAAUGCUUAGAUAUGACACAGAACACCGAUUGCGUAGGCAGCUCACUAAACUGUAACUGACGCUGAGGCACGAAAGCGUGGGGAGCAAACAGG